rnacentral:rRNA from 1 species
CUGCUGCCUUCCGUAGGAGUCUGGUCCGUGUCUCAGUACCAGUGUGGGGGACCUUCCUCUCAGAACCCCUAGACAUCGUCGCCUUGGUGGGCCGUUGCCCCGCCAACUAGCUAAUGUCACGCAUGCCCAUCCGUUGCCGGAAUCGCUCCCUUUGGCCGCAGGGCCAUGCAGCCCCGCGGCGUUACGCGGUAUUAGACGGGAUUUCUCCCGAUUAUCCCCCUGCAACGGGCAGGUCGCAUACGCGUUACUCACCCGUGCG